CUGCAUUUUGAACUUUGUGUUGGUGAAGAUUUCCUGAGAGCUGCUCAAUUUGCUGGUGCAGCCUGCCUGGAGUCCCUGCACAGCUGAGAGGUCUGUGGCCUAACGGAGCCUUCCUAAGAUUAAGACGACGUCUCGGCUUAUUCCGCGGACGGAGCGCUCGGCUGCAACCUGCUCGUGCCACUGAGUGCUGAGGGCUCCGCAGCGCUGUCGGGGCCACUCUGUGCCGCACACUUGAACGAGCUGCAGCCACAGAAUCCUGUCCCAGUGGGUUUGAAGUCCUGUGGCCCCCACACAGGUGUAGGCCAGACCCGCUGGUGAGGAGCCAGCAUCCUGCUCUCCUCAAUGAGCUUGAGCACUCUGUCGAUGUGAGCAUAGGACAUCUAUUUCUCUCUGUAAUAUGAUUCUUCUUUGCUUUUUUAUUUCAUUUUGAAGACCCCUCAAUAGUUAUUUACUGCAAAAAGUCAUUGGUGAGUGUGUGUCUCCGAGUUUGAGCAACAGAAAGGAAAACAACAGGUUCCUAUGUUUGGACUCCAGAGUAGCAGUCACAGAUCAGGACAUUUCUCAACAAGCAGGGCCAGCUCAGGAUGACUCGGAUCUUCCAUUUGCUUUCUGCAACACAAACCACCCUUGCCAAGCACAGCCUUGGGAGCUGGGUUGUCACACCUUUGCCACAGACCAAGAUGUCCCUGCAGACUAUCGAAGGUCCUGCAUAUGAAGAUGAUAUUUUUAUAGCUACAUCUCAGUUCUGACAUCCCAGCCAUCUGCCCUAGUAUCUCUGUGGUGGAAUCUUGCCUGGUUGUGGGUGGACCUUUGGAAGAGCUUCUUGUAGGCAAAGGCAUAUUCCAACCAAAAAAAGCCUUUCUUAAAAAUAUAUUAACUAAUGUAAAGCAUUACUUAUUCUCAUAAAAGUGCAGAAAAUCCUUGUAAAAAUAGAUACAAAUGCUCUCAAAAUUAGUGGUCUGUAGACCAGGGCAGCCUUCAGUGGAUGUACUUGAACAGGACUUUAUGUAUUUAUUUGUUUUUUCUCUGUUACUUCUUGCUGUUUGGAUUUGCCCUUGAACAUAGAGGGAGAUUUUAAGA